rnacentral:rRNA from 1 species
CUUCGGAUCGUAAAGCUCUGUUGUUAGGGAAGAACAAGUACCGUUCAAAUAGGGCGGUACCUUGACGGUACCUAACCAGAAAGCCACGGCUAACUACGUGCCAGCAGCCGCGGUAAUACGUAGGUGGCAAGCGUUAUCCGGAAUUAUUGGGCGUAAAGCGCGCGCAGGCGGUCCUUUAAGUCUGAUGUGAAAGCCCACGGCUCAACCGUGGAGGGUCAUUGGAAACUGGGGGACUUGAGUGCAGAAGAGGAGAGCGGAAUUCCACGUGUAGCGGUGAAAUGCGUAGAGAUGUGGAGGAACACCAGUGGCGAAGGCGGCUCUCUGGUCUGUAACUGACGCUGAGGCGCGAAAGCGUGGGGAGCGAACAGGAUUAGAUACCCUGGUAGUCCACGCCGUAAACGAUGAGUGCUAGGUGUUAGGGGGUUUCCGCCCCUUAGUGCUGAAGUUAACGCAUUAAGCACUCCGCCUGGGGAGUACGGCCGCAAGGCUGAAACUCAAAAGAAUUGACGGGGGCCCGCACAAGCGGUGGAGCAUGUGGUUUAAUUCGAAGCAACGCGAAGAACCUUACCAGGUCUUGACAUCCUCUGACAACCCUAGAGAUAGGGCUUUCCCUUCGGGGACAGAGUGACAGGUGGUGCAUGGUUGUCGUCAGCUCGUGUCGUGAGAUGUUGGGUUAAGUCCCGCAACGAGCGCAACCCUUGAU